UCAGGUGGAAGACUUGUAAUUUUCCCCCUUUUAAAUGAACACUCAUUAAUUCAGCCCAGUGUUCUAGUCUGUAAAGACCUUUUUGAAUCCCAGUCCUGCUCUCUCAUUUCAAAGAGGAAACCAUCUUCUCAGAGAAGGGAAGUAACUUACUCAAGUUCACAUAGGGAACAGGUGGCAGGACCUGGCAUACAAGCUUGGGUGCUCUGAUUCCAAGUCCAAUGCUCUUUCCAAUAUAUCAUGAUGAAUGCAGCAGGGGGUGGGAAUAUUAAUGAGCACUUCAUUAUUUGGGGAUACACGGAUCCUAUCUGGGAGCACUGCUCCUCACCCUACAAGUGACUUAUGAGGUCACAAAGGAGAUGGUGAGCAGCAAGAUAAAGUCUGGGUAGAGUUUCCUAUUGCUUUAGCAUUUCCACACCAAAGGCAAACACUUUGUACCCUUUAUACCCUUGUAUUUUGCUUCAGAUCUUCUUUUCUUCAGUCACAGAGAAGAAGGUAAGAAGAAGGGCAUAUCUUGGUGAUGGACAAGUCAACAUCCAUGUUGUGCUGAGCUGGCUUCUCCCAUGAUGGCGAACCUAUGGCAUGCUUGCUGGAGGGGACUAUUCCCCUCCCCCUCUGCACCAUUCCUGAAGAUAUUUCUCCCAUCACCCACUCCUCUGCCUAACAGCCCAAAGGAAGCACUUCCUCCCUCCUCUAUCUGGGGUAAAAUGGGAGACUCACAUGACACAUGA